GGAUUGUAGCUCAGUGGUAGAACGCUCGCCUAGCAUGUAGGAGGCAUUGGGUUCGAUUCUCAGCACCA
rnacentral:tRNA from 1 species